AUGGUGUUGCUUGACAUUAGGGGUAUGUUGCAGUCCAUGGGUAAAGACAUUGUUGAUUUUGCUCUGCCAAGCAUCGAUGAUGCGUUUGACCCAACUGAGGGCGAGGCAAGAGAGGUCAUCGAGGAAUCAACCGUUCAGUUUGACAUGGAUGACACUAAAUUGGCAUCUUCCCUGAACUUGGAGCAGAGGGCCGCAUACGAUGAGAUACUAGCGGCUGUUGAACGCGGUGAUGGGGGUGUAUUCUUUGUUGAUGGCCCUGGAGGUACAGGAAAGACCUUCCUAUAUAGGGCGAUGCUUGCCAAGGUGAGGAGCGAUGGCAAGAUUGGUAUCGCUACCGCGACGUCGGGCGUCGGCGCUUCUAUCAUGCCUGGCGGCAGGACUGCCCACUCGAGGUUCAAGAUCCCAUUG
rnacentral:rRNA from 1 species